UUUCCGUAGGUGGACCUGCGGAAGGAUCAUUACUGAGUGAGGGCCCCUCGGGGUCCGACCUCCCACCCGUGUUUAACGAACCUUGUUGCUUCGGCGGGCCCGCCUCACGGCCGCCGGGGGGCAUCUGCCCCCGGGCCCGCGCCCGCCGAAGCCACCUGUGAACGCUGUCUGAAGUAUGCAGUCUGAGACAAUUAUUAAAUUAAUUAAAACUUUCAACAACGGAUCUCUUGGUUCCG
rnacentral:misc_RNA from 1 species